UAGGGAAUAUUAGUAAUGGGCGGAAGCCUGAACUAGCAACGCCGCGUGUGCGAAGAAGGCCUUCGGGUUGUAUAGCACUUUUUGAGAGGAUGAGGAAGGACGGUACUCUCAGAAUAAGUCUCGGCUAACUACGUGCCAGCAGCCGCGGUAACACGUAGGAGGCGAACGUUAUCCGGAUUUACUGGGCGUAAAGCGCGUGUAGGUGGUUUGGUAAGUAGGGCGUGAAAGCUCCUGGCUCAACUGGGAGAGGCCGUUCUAAACUGCCGAACUAGAGGAUGGUAGAGGGAGGUGGAAUUCCGGGUGUAGCGGUGGAAUGCGCAGAUAUGCGGAGGAACACCAGUGGCGAAAGCGGCCUCCUGGACCAUUCCUGACACUCAGACGCGAAAGCUAGGGUAGCAAACGG
rnacentral:rRNA from 1 species